rnacentral:rRNA from 1 species
UACGGAGGGGGCUAGCGUUGUUCGGAAUUACUGGGCGUAAAGCGCACGUAGGCGGCUUUGUAAGUUAGAGGUGAAAGCCCGGAGCUCAACUCCGGAAUUGCCUUUAAGACUGCAUCGCUAGAAUUGUGGAGAGGUAAGUGGAAUUCCGAGUGUAGAGGUGAAAUUCGUAGAUAUUCGCAAGAACACCAGUGGCGAAGGCGGCUUACUGGACCGGUUCUGACGCUGAGGCGCGAAAGCGUGGGGAGCAAACAGG